rnacentral:sRNA from 1 species
CACGGAUGAAAUUCAAGUUUCUGCUAAAAAUAGAAGUAUCCUUGAGUCAGGAAGGGAACAAGUGGAGGAAGAUAAGCAUCCUGAAAGAAGGGGAGAAUUUUGCAUGGCCUUUAUCUGGUUUUGAUUAGUGGCAAAUGUACUAGAAGCUGUGCCUGCAGUUUGUGGUGAAGGUGCUGGAUGUGGAGUUGGUUUGUGAGGCCCUGCAGGUGGCCGUAACCUUUGGCCUGGGGCAGCUGCAGGAGCGCUGCGUGGCUUUCAUAGAGGCCCACAGCCAGGUACUGCUCCCUUCAUACUCCUCACCCUACGCACCGCAUUCUGCUCCUCCCUGACCCAUUUGCCGGCUCGCAGGAGGCCCUCCGGACCCGAGGCUUCCUGGAGCUGUCGGCGGCGGCGCUGCUGCCCCUGCUCCGCAGCGACAAGCUCUGCGUGGACGAGGCGGAACUGGUCCGCGCGGCCCGAAGCUGGGCGCGCGUGGGCGCGGCGGUGCUGGAGCGGCCGGUGGCUGAGGUGGCGGCCCCGGUGGUGAAAGAGCUGAGACUAGCCUUGCUGGCCCCGGCGGAGCUGAGCGCCCUGGAAGAGCAGAACCGGCAGGAACCACUCAUCCCGGUGGAGCAGAUUGUGGAGGCGUGGAAAUGCCAUGCCCUGCGGAGAGGGGAUGAGGCCCGGGGCGCCCCGUGUCGCCGCCGGAGAGGCACCCUGCCCCGGGAGCAUCACCGCUCUCUGGACCUGUCCUUCAAAUGAUCCAACGCCAGGACUCGCAGGGAGCCCUCGACCCGCCCAGCUGAGCCUGCCCCAAACUACAGCUCCCGAAGUGCUCGGCGUUCGGAGCGGGCUUCCGUUCCCAGCGUGCCCAGUGAGCCGGGCGCCGGAAGAACCAUUGUCUGCCACGCGCAGCCCCUUCUUGUGCGGGAUCAAGCUCGUGUGGGCGAGGUGGGGU